GCCGGGCGUGGUGGCGGGCGCCUAUAAUCCCAGCUACUUGGGAGGUUGAGACAGGAGAAUCGCUUGAACCCGGGAGACCGAGGUUGCAGCGAGCCGAGAUCGCGUCACUGCACUCCAGCCCGGGUGACAGAGCGAGACUCUGCCUCAA
rnacentral:SRP_RNA from 1 species